AUGAACGCUGGCGGCGUGCCUAAUACAUGCAAGUCGAGCGAACAGACGAGGAGCUUGCUCCUCUGACGUUAGCGGCGGACGGGUGAGUAACACGUGGAUAACCUACCUAUAAGACUGGGAUAACUUCGGGAAACCGGAGCUAAUACCGGAUAAUAUAUUGAACCGCAUGGUUCAAUAGUGAAAGACGGUUUUGCUGUCACUUAUAGAUGGAUCCGCGCCGCAUUAGCUAGUUGGUAAGGUAACGGCUUACCAAGGCAACGAUGCGUAG
rnacentral:rRNA from 1 species